GUAAUACAUCGGAACGUGCCCAGUAGUGGGGGAUAGCCCGGCGAAAGCCGGAUUAAUACCGCAUACGACCUACGGGUGAAAGCGGGGGACCGAAAGGCCUCGCGCUAUUGGAGCGGCCGAUGGCUGAUUAGCUAGUUGGUGGGGUAAAGGCCUACCAAGGCUACGAUCAGUAGCUGGUCUGAGAGGACGACCAGCCACACUGGGACUGAGACACGGCCCAGACUCCUACGGGAGGCAGCAGUGGGGAAUUUUGGACAAUGGGCGAAAGCCUGAUCCAGCAAUGCCGCGUGUGCGAAGAAGGCCUUCGGGUUGUAAAGCACUUUUGUCAGGAAAGAAAUUGUCUGGGCUAAUACCCCGGGCCGUUGACGGUACCUGAAGAAUAAGCACCGGCUAACUACGUGCCAGCAGCCGCGGUAAUACGUAGGGUGCGAGCGUUAAUCGGAAUUACUGGGCGUAAAGCGUGCGCAGGCGGUUUGUUAAGACAGUUGUGAAAUCCCCGGGCUUAACCUGGGAACUGCAAUUGUGACUGGCAGGCUAGAGUUUGGCAGAGGGGGGUGGAAUUCCUGGUGUAGCAGUGAAAUGCGUAGAUAUCAGGAGGAACACCGAUGGCGAAGGCAGCCCCCUGGGCCAUGACUGACGCUCAUGCA
rnacentral:rRNA from 1 species